UACAGAGGUCUCGAGCGUUAGGCGGAAUCACUGGGCUUAAAGCGUGUGUAGGCGGAUCGUUAAGUACCUUGUGAAAUCCCACGGCUUAACCGUGGAACUGCUUGGUAUACUGGCGGUCUUGAGCCAGCUAGGGGCUACCGGAACAAAUGGUGGAGCGGUGAAAUGCGUAGAUAUCAUUUGGAACGCCGACGGCGAAAGCAGCUGACUGGGAGUGAUCUGACGCUGAGACGCGAAAGCCAGGGGAGCGAACGGG
rnacentral:rRNA from 1 species